ensembl:lncRNA
GCCUCAGCAUCCAACCUGAAUAAACCUCACCUGAAUAAACCUCACAGCCAUAAUCCAGCUGUAAAUAUGACAGGGCAAAAAUAGUAGGUGCAGAUGCUGCUUACACAUUAUGAGCCAGGCUCCUAAAAGGGCACGGCAUGAAGAUAGACUAUCUUCUCCAGAAGAAGCUGGGUGCAGCCGUCACCGGGACAUUAGAGAAUUUCCUGCGGGAAUUAACGGACCGAGAAGGAGACAAAGAGGAGAAAAGUGCAGAAUGAGAACUGCGCUCAUAACAUACAGGAAGUAUCUCCAGCUCAGUACCAGAAAUGCUUUACCAUGGAUCUGAGCAGUCUGUCACAAUAGAAAAUCUGGGAAAAGAAAAAAAAGACUCAAAGCUUUUCAAGAUGCUAAAAAUUCAACACAACGCUUGAGAGUUAAGGUCCUGAAACUGGUGUUUAAAAGUAGUUUGCAGUCUUGUUUCCACUAAACAACUGCUACAAAAUGGAUGAAAUAAAAUAAGCUACAUCCACAUGCUUUCAGGGAGUAGGCAAUGAUGUUUGGAGCAUGCUGGCAGCUGCUGUGAGUUACCUCUGAGGUGCACAGCUCUCUCCACCCAGUGAGAGGAAGCCCAGAUUGGACCAGCAAAGUGGUGUGAACCUUCCUGUUUGUGUCAAACUGUACUGUCAGUGCAUAUAUUGACUUCACCGAAGUAGUUUGGGCUUUCCACCACUGAUGAGACCUUGGUGUCCUA